rnacentral:rRNA from 1 species
UACGUAGGUGGCAAGCGUUGUCCGGAAUUAUUGGGCGUAAAGGGCGUGUAGGUGGAUUCUUAAGUCGUGUGUCUAAGUGCGGAGCUCAACUCCGUAUAGGCGCAGGAAACUGAGAAUCUUGAGUGCAGGAGAGGAAAGUGGAAUUCCCAGUGUAGCGGUGAAAUGCGUAGAUAUUGGGAGGAACACCAGUGGCGAAGGCGACUUUCUGGACUGUGUCUGACACUGAGGCGCGAAAGCUAGGGGAGCGAACGGG